rnacentral:rRNA from 1 species
UGCAAGUCGAACGCUUUGUCUUUAACUGAUCUGACGAGCUUGCUCUGAUUUGAUUUUAUCUGACAAAGAGUGGCGAACGGGUGAGUAACACGUGGGUAACCUACCUCUUAGCAGGGGAUAACAUUUGGAAACAAGUGCUAAUACCGUAUAAUACCAACAACCGCAUGGUUGUUGGUUGAAAGAUGGUUCUGCUAUCACUAAGAGAUGGACCCGCGGUGCAUUAGCUAGUUGGUAAGGUAACGGCUUACCAAGGCAAUGAUGCAUAGCCGAGUUGAGAGACUGAUCGGCCACAAUGGGACUGAGACACGGCCCAUACUCCUACGGGAGGCAGCAGUAGGGAAUCUUCCACAAUGGGCGCAAGCCUGAUGGAGCAACGCCGCGUGUGUGAUGAAGGGUUUCGGCUCGUAAAACACUGUUAUAAGAGAAGAACGGCACUGAGAGUAACUGUUCAGUGUGUGACGGUAUCUUACCAGAAAGGAACGGCUAAAUACGUGCCAGCAGCCGCGGUAAUACGUAUGUUCCAAGCGUUAUCCGGAUUUA